rnacentral:siRNA from 1 species
UUAAAAUUCAGUGGCAACCA